rnacentral:rRNA from 1 species
UACGUAGGGGGCGAGCGUUGUCCGAAUUUACUGGGCGUAAAGCGCGCGUAGGCGGGGGGUUAAGUGAGAGGUGAAAGGCUGGGGCUCAACCUCAUGCAGUGCCUCUCAUACUGGCCUUCUUGAGGGCGGUAGGGAGAAGUGGAAUGGCUGGUGUAGCGGUGAAAUGCGUAGAUAUCAGUCGGAACACCGGUGGCGAAGGCGGCUUCUUGGGCCGUUCCUGACGCUGAUGCGCGAAAGCUGGGGGAGCAAACGGG